rnacentral:rRNA from 1 species
UAAGGAAUAUUGCUCAAUGGGAGAAAUCCUGAAGCAGCAACGCCGCGUGGAGGAUGAAGGGUCUAUGACUUGUAAACUCCUGUAAAGAAGGAAAAAAUUCCCAUUAGAUGGGAGAUGAUGGUACUUCUGGAGUAAGCCCCGGCUAACUACGUGCCAGCAGCCGCGGUAAUACGUAGGGGGCAAGCGUUGUCCGGAUUUACUGGGUGUAAAGGGUGCUCAGGCGGAUUUGUAAGUCAGAGGUGAAAUCUUACAGCUUAACUGUGAAACUGCCUUUGAUACUGCAAGCCUAGAGUAUGGAAGAGAGUGAUGGAAUAUCUGGUGUAGCAGUGAAAUGCGUAGAUAUCCGGAGGAACACCAGUGGCGAAAGCGGCCUCCUGGACCAUUUCUGACACUCAGACGCGAAAGCUAAGGUAGCAAACG